rnacentral:tRNA from 1 species
GCGAAGGUGGCGGAAUUGGUAGACGCUAGCUUCAGGUGUUAGUGUUCUUACGGACGUGGGGGUUCAAGUCCCCCCCCCCGCACCA